rnacentral:tRNA from 1 species
AUUAAUUGGCAGAAAAAUGCNAUUAGNAAUUAGAAUCUAAUAAAACUAAUAAUGACCAUUUACUUUAACUUGUACCUAACUCACCACAAUUAGA